GACGAACGCUAGCGGCGUGCCUAAUGUAUGCAAGUCGAGCGAGGCCUUCGGGCCGAGCGGCGAACGGUUGAGUAACACGUCGGCAACCUGCCCCGCAGUGGGGGAUAACUCAUCGAAAGGUGGGCUAAUACCGCAUGUUGCCCCAGUUCGCAUGAACUGGUGGCGAAAGCAGUAAUGUGCUGCGGGAGGGGCCGGCGGCCUAUCAGCUUGUUGGUGGGGUAACGGCCUACCAAGGCUUCGACGGGUAGCUGGUCUGAGAGGAUGGUCAGCCAGACAGGGACUGAGACACGGCCCUGACUCCUUUGGGGGCAGCAAUGAGGGAUAUUGCGCAAUGGGGGAAACCCUGACGCAGCGACGCCGCGUGGGUGAUGAAGUCCUCGG
rnacentral:rRNA from 1 species